GAGUUUCCGGGGGGGAAAAAACAGUAAGGUGUGGUGUAGGCUGACUAAAAUGGAGCAGGAAUCUGUAAAUUUGGAGGUAAUCCACCACAUUUUCUUCCCAGAGCCAAGUAAGACUGGACAGUGCCAAAUGACGUGUAGGAUUGUGCCAGUUACCAGACCCCAACACCAGAACAUUCUGUAGGAGAUUGAAGUAAAGUUCCAAUGGAGUGGAGAGGGAAUCCAGUGUCAACUAGCUGCCACAGUCCUGACCAAGAGUAUCAGCUGAAAUAGACCCAGCAAGUAACUGUCAGCAAAUCGUUAGUCCAAACCCCAGACCAGACCUCAAAAUUAUUUAAUAGUCAACUUUUAAAUGAAACAGUAUAUCAAGUCUCAUCUCAUAGAAGGAAAAUUUAUGUAGGUCCGCACCACAGUAUCUACCCUAGAGGCAAGUGUCUGUGUUGCACUAAGAAGUCAAUGCCAUACUCACUCAAACCAGCAGCCUUAUUGUUCUCAACUGAGGUUCCCUCCAUACAAAUCCUCAGGCUAUAAUUACAGGCAAGUUCAGCACAGGGACUCUGUUCUACUACUUCAAACUGUCUGCCUUUCCCACUUAUCCAUGGAAGUUAAGCUAGUGUGCCAGGUAGGGUGCUGAGGAGAUUUUUGGCAAGGUGCCUGGAAUUAGCGUGUAUCCAUUCUGGCUUCUGCAAAGGACACAUGUGCAAUUUUGUUCUUAGGACUGAAUUACAUGUUCACAAAAGAUUAAGUUACAUUCUAUAGUUCUAUCCUCUUUUUCUUUAUGCGACGUUGGUAGCAUAUGGACCAACGUAACUGACAUGUAAAACUAUAUUAUAUAAUUUACAAUUCUUACAUAAAAUAAA